rnacentral:rRNA from 1 species
UAUGGUGACUAUUGCGGUGGGGAUCACCUCUUUCCAUUCCGAACAGAGAAGUUAAGCCCACCAGCGCAGAUGGUACUGCUGUAACAAGCGGGAGAGUAUGUCGUUGCCAAUU